rnacentral:rRNA from 1 species
UAACACAUGCAAGUCGAGCGGAAACGACACUAACAAUCCUUCGGGUGCGUUAAUGGGCGUCGAGCGGCGGACGGGUGAGUAAUGCCUAGGAAAUUGCCUUGAUGUGGGGGAUAACCAUUGGAAACGAUGGCUAAUACCGCAUAAUGCCUACGGGCCAAAGAGGGGGACCUUCGGGCCUCUCGCGUCAAGAUAUGCCUAGGUGGGAUUAGCUAGUUGGUGAGGUAAUGGCUCACCAAGGCGACGAUCCCUAGCUGGUCUGAGAGGAUGAUCAGCCACACUGGAACUGAGACACGGUCCAGACUCCUACGGGAGGCAGCAGUGGGGAAUAUUGCACAAUGGGCGAAAGCCUGAUGCAGCCAUGCCGCGUGUAUGAAGAAGGCCUUCGGGUUGUAAAGUACUUUCAGUUGUGAGGAAGGGGGUAGCGUUAAUAGCUCUAUCUCUUGACGUUAGCAACAGAAGAAGCACCGGCUAACUCCGUGCCAGCAGCCUCGGUAAUACGGAGGGUGCGAGCGUUAAUCGGAAUUACUGGGCGUAAAGCGCAUGCAGGUGGUUCAUUAAGUCAUAUGUGAAAGCCCGGGGCUCAACCUCGGAACUGCAUUUGAAACUGGUGAACUAGAGUACUGUAGAGGGGGGUAGAAUUUCAAGUGUAGCGGUGAAAUGCGUAGACAUCUGAAGGAAUACCAGUGGCGAAGGCGGCCCCCUGGACAGAUACUGACACUCA